UUUAUGGAGAGUUUGAUCCUGGCUCAGGAUGAACGCUGGCGGCGUGCCUAAUACAUGCAAGUCGAGCGAACGGACGAGAAGCUUGCUUCUCUGAUGUUAGCGGCGGACGGGUGAGUAACACGUGGAUAACCCACCUAUAAGACUGGGAUAACUUCGGGAAACCGGAGCUAAUACCGGAUAAUAUUUUGAACCGCAUGGUUCAAAAGUGAAAGACGGUCUUGCUGUCACUUAUAGAUGGAUCCGCGCUGCAUUAGCUAGUUGGUAAGGUAACGGCUUACCAAGGCAACGAUGCAUAGCCGACCUGAGAGGGUGAUCGGCCACACUGGAACUGAGACACGGUCCAGACUCCUACGGGAGGCAGCAGUAGGGAAUCUUCCGCAAUGGGCGAAAGCCUGACGGAGCAACGCCGCGUGAGUGAUGAAGGUCUUCGGAUCGUAAAACUCUGUUAUUAGGGAAGAACAUAUGUGUA
rnacentral:rRNA from 1 species